rnacentral:rRNA from 1 species
GCAGCCGCCGCGGUAGUACGUAGGUGGCAAGCGUUGUCCGGAAUUAUUGGGCGUAAAGCGCGCGCAGGCGGCCUAUCCAGUCUGUCUUAAAAGUUCGGGGCUCAACCCCGUGAUGGGAAAGAAACUACACGUCUUGAGUACAGGAGAGGAAAGCGGAAUUCCCAGUGUAGCGGUGAAAUGCGUAGAUAUUGGGAGGAACACCAGUGGCGAAGGCUGCUUUCUGGACUGCAACUGACGCUGAGGCUCGAAAGCCAGGGGAGCGAACGGGAUUAGAUACCCCCGUAGUCCCUGUCUCUUAUACA